CUUGGUCAUUUAGAGGAAGUAAAAGUCGUAACAAGGUUUCCGUAGGUGAACCUGCGGAAGGAUCAUUCAUAAUAAGUGUUUUAUGGCACUUUUUUAAAUCCAUAUCCACCUUGUGUGCAAUGUCAGGGUUGGUCUCUUGAAAAAGAGGUCAGCCCCAAACAUCAACCCAAUCUUAACUCUUUGUCUGAAAAAUAUUAUGAAUAAAACAAUUCAAAAUACAACUUUCAACAACGGAUCUCUUGGCUCUCGCAUCGAUGAAGAACGCAGCGAAAUGCGAUACGUAAUGUGAAUUGCAGAAUUCAGUGAAUCAUCGAAUCUUUGAACGCAUAUUGCGCUCUUUGGUAUUCCGAAGAGCAUGCUUGUUUGAGUAUCAGUAAACACCUCAAAGCCUUUUUUUGUUAAGAGGCCUUGGACUUGAGCAAUCCCAACACUUUUCCUCCAAGAAAAGUGGCGGGUUGCUUGAAAUGCAGGUGCAGCUGGACAUUCUCCUGAGCUAAAAGCAUAUUCAUUUAGUCCCGUCAAACGGAUUAUUACUUUUGCUGCAGCUAACAUAAAGGGAGUUUGACCAUUUUGGCUGACUGAUGCAGGAUUUUCACAAGAGUCUUCAAAAGCUUUUGUUAAACUCGAUCUCAAAUCAAGUAAGACUACCCGCUGAACUUAAGCAUAUCAAUAAGCGGAGGA
rnacentral:rRNA from 1 species